GAUGAACGCUAGCGGGAGGCCUAACACAUGCAAGCCGAGCGGUAUUUGUUCUUCGGAACAGAGAGAGCGGCGCACGGGUGCGGAACACGUGUGCAACCUGCCUUUAUCUGGGGGAUAGCCUUUCGAAAGGAAGAUUAAUACCCCAUAAUAUAUUGAGUGGCAUCAUUUGAUAUUGAAAACUCCGGUGGAUAGAGAUGGGCACGCGCAAGAUUAGAUAGUUGGUGAGGUAACGGCUCACCAAGUCAAUGAUCUUUAGGGGGCCGGAGAGGGUGAUCCCCCACACUGGUACUGGGACACGGACCAGACACCUACGGGAGGCAGCAGUGAGGAAGACUGGACAAUGGGUUAGCGCCUGAUCCAGCCAUCCCGCGUGAAGGACGACGGCCCUAUGGGUUGUAAACUUCUUUUGUAUAGGGAUAAACCUACUCUCGGGAGAGUAGCUGAAGGUACUAGACGAAUAAGCACCGGCUAACUCCGUG
rnacentral:rRNA from 1 species